rnacentral:rRNA from 1 species
AUGGCGCCCGGCGGGGUUGUGCUCCUCGGCCUCCUUCUCCUGGCGCUGGUGGACGCGCUUGCCGCCGUCCACAUCGACAUCGCGGCGGCCCUGUUCCACUCGCACGACCACCUCGGGGGCAACAAGCACAAGGACAAGCAGUCUUCUUCCUCGCCUUCGUGGCCAGACGGCAAUUACCUUCCGCCGGCGGGCAACAAGGAGAAGAAGGACAAGAAGGAGAAGCCUUCAUGGCCGGACGGUAACGCCGCGGAUUUCUUCGCGGAGGCUGCCAAGAAGGGGCUGCGGUCCUUCACCGGCGGGCGGGGCGGGUACAAGACGAUGACGACGGAGUUCCUGGACGCGCAUAACCAGGUGCGGGCCAAGUACGGCGUGCCGCCGCUGCGGUGGAGCAAGAAGCUGGCGCGGUACGCGCGGCGGUGGUCGGACGCGCGGCGGUUCGACUGCGUGAUGAUGCACUCGGUGGGUUCCCCCUACGGCGAGAACGUCUUCUGGGGCACCGGGUGGGACUGGAAGGCCGUGGAGGCCGUGGGCGACUGGGCCAGCGAGUCCUCCUUCUACGACUGGCGGGCGCAGGCCUGCCACCCGGGCCAGGUCUGCGAGCACUUCACCCAGAUCGUCUGGCGGACCACAAAGUACGUCGGCUGCGGCCGGGCCGAGUGCCUCGCCGGCGGCGUCUUCAUCACCUGCUCCUACGACCCGCCCGGGAACUGGAAGGGAGAGGUGCCGCUCACCUAA